rnacentral:rRNA from 1 species
CCUACGGGUGGCAGCAGUGAGGAAUAUUGGUCAAUGGACGAGAGUCUGAACCAGCCAAGUAGCGUGAAGGAUGACUGCCCUAUGGGUUGUAAACUUCUUUUAUAUGGGAAUAAAACGUUCCACGUGUGGGAUUUUGUAUGUACCAUAUGAAUAAGGCUCGGCUAACUCCGUGCCAGCAGCCGCGGUAAUCCGGAGGAUUCGAGCGUUAUCCGGAUUUAUUGGGUUUAAAGGGAGCGUAGGUGGAUUGUUAAGUUAGUUGUGAAAGUUUGCGGCUCAACCGUAAAAUUGCAGUUGAAACUGGCAGUCUUGAGUACAGUAGAGGUGGGCGGAAUUCGUGGUGUAGCGGUGAAAUGCUUGGAUAUCACGAAGAACUCCGAUUGCGAAGGCAGUUCACUGGACUGCAACUGACACUGAGGCUCGAAAGUGUGGGUAUCAAACAGGAUUAGAUACCCCUGUAGUC